CGCGGUGAGCGGCAGAUGAGGGAUCCGCGCGGGGCUGAGCGGAGCGGACUCAAACCGGCGACCGAAGGACAAGUCCGGGGACAAGUUUUGAGGACGGCGGCACGGAUCGAGACUACGAGAUAAGAUGAAGUAAAGGAGCUCACAUCGCCUUAGAGGGGAGCCAGCUGUAUCAGAAAGAUCAUUGGAAGAGGUGCGACCUGGGUGCAGCUUCUCAGGUGUGUGGGGGAAAAGGCAGUGAGUGAACAGCAGGCUGGGCCCCAGCCAGCAGCGCUGAGCUAUUUGACCACACAGCAAGAUAUCAGGAAACACCGCUUGAUCCUUGAUCUGGCUGGAAAGACGAUUAAAGCGCCCGACCUGCCAACACUGGUUCUAUCUCAUUAGUAGACGUUACCGAUCAAUCACAGCUGAAUUAUUGUGGGUCAUUAGGACUGUAAACCUUAAACACCAGCCUCAGGGGAGAAUUUAGGUUGGCACAGCAGGCGGUAGAGAAGGUGAUGAGCAGGAGAGGAAAUGUGCAUGCAUCCUUCAGUCUGUAUGAACUCCCCUUAAUGACUCUGGUUGUCAGUGAAAAAGGUAAUUUAUCCCCG
rnacentral:lncRNA from 1 species